rnacentral:rRNA from 1 species
UACGUAGGUGACAAGCGUUAUCCGGAAUUACUGGGCGUAAAGCGCACGCAGGCGGCAGAUUAAGUCUGACGUGAAAUCUCCUGGCUUAACUGGGAGGGGUCGUUGGAAACUGGUCAGCUUGAGGUGGUGAGAGGGGUGUAGAAUUCCCGGUGUAGUGGUGGAAUGCGUAGAUAUCGGGAGGAAUACCAGUGGCGAAAGCGACACCCUGGCACUAGCCUGACGCUCAUGUGCGAAAGCGUGGGGAGCAAACGGGAUUAGAAACCCUUGUAGUCC